AAUCAGUAUAAAAGAAACCAGUAAAAUAACAUAAGGUAUAUCUUCCUAGCAACAGGAACAGCCAAUCAGCAUCCUCUUUAUAGCAUAACAGGCAGUGUCCAGUAUACUACUUCCUCUUUCUUGCGAUCCCGAACAAGGACAACAAAUCCAAAUAAAAAGUGGGCUCCAAUAAGAAGGUAUGCAAGCCUUAAACUGGAUCUCGGAG